rnacentral:rRNA from 1 species
CCUACGGGGAGCUGCAGUGGGGAAUAUUGGGCAAUGGAGGAAACUCUGACCCAGCAACGCCGCGUGAAUGAUGAAGGUCUUCGGAUUGUAAAGUUCUUUUCUAAGGGAAGAAGAAAGUGACGGUACCUUAGGAAUAAGCCUCGGCUAACUACGUGCCAGCAGCCGCGGUAAUACGUAGGAGGCGAGCGUUAUCCGGAUUUACUGGGUGUAAAGGGAGCGUAGACGGCAGCACAAGUCUGGAGUGAAAUGCCGGGGCUUAACCCCGGAACUGCUUUGGAAACUGUGCAGCUAGAGUGCAGGAGAGGUAAGUGGAAUUCCUAGUGUAGCGGUGAAAUGCGUAGAUAUUAGGAGGAACACCAGUGGCGAAGGCGGCUUACUGGACUGUAACUGACGUUGAGGCUCGAAAGCGUGGGGAGCAAACAGGAUUAGAUACCCCUGUAGUC